CAAAAGUUAAAUUUGUAUUAAUUAGACAUUUUUGCUAUACAACGCACAAUUCGCAAUUGAGCAAAAAUACUGUUACAAGUAUGAAGAAAAAAACAAAUUAAGGUGCCUAGAUCGUUUCAACAAAACUACUCAAUGAGCCGUCUUCUAACAGCUUCAGGGUAUCAUCACAUCCUCCUAUAAACCUUCCCUUAACAAAUACUCUUGGGACAGUUCCACUUCCAGUUAGCUCCCUACAGUAAUCUUGAAUUUCUUUAGUAUCUACUCUACCGUCGAUUUGCAUAACCAAAGGUGAAUAUCCAGCGCUUUUCAAGCUAUUGAUUGCUUUUAUGCAGUAUGGGCAAUAACUCUUCGAUAUAACACAGAUAUCUCCUGAACUUAUGAAUGACUCUACUAAUAACUUUAUUGAGUUCAUUGCAGUGUCAAUAUUUUUUAGUUAUUUUUACA
rnacentral:antisense_RNA from 1 species